rnacentral:rRNA from 1 species
GACAAACGCUGGCGGGGUGCGUGAGACAUGCAAGUCGAACGAGGUUCAUCGGGCUUGCUCGAUGAACCGAGUGGCGGACGGCUGAGUAACGCGUAGGUGACCUGCCCGGAAGUGGGGAAUAACUGCCCGAAAGGGUGGCUAAUACCGCAUGUGGCCGGCGAAUCAGUUCGUCGUCUAAAGCCGCAAGGCGCUUCCGGAGGGGCCUGCGUCCGAUUAGCUAGUUGGUGAGGUAACGGCCCACCAAGGCGACGAUCGGUAGCUGGUCUGAGAGGAUGAUCAGCCAGACUGGGACUGAGAACGGCCCAGACUCCUACGGGAGGCAGCAGUCGGGAAUUUUGCCCAAUGGACGAAAGUCUGAGGCAGCAACUCCGCGUGAGGGACGAAGGCCUGGUGU